rnacentral:rRNA from 1 species
AGCCUGAUGCAGCGACGCCGCGUGAGGGAUGACGGCCUUCGGGUUGUAAACCUCUUACGCCAGGGACGAAGCGUGAGUGACGGUACCUGGAGAAGAAGCACCGGCCAACUACGUGCCAGCAGCCGCGGUAAUACGUAGGGUGCGAGCGUUGUCCGGAAUUACUGGGCGUAAAGAGCUCGUAGGCGGUUUGUCGCGUCGUCUGUGAAAUUCUGCAACUCAAUUGUAGGCGUGCAGGCGAUACGGGCAGACUUGAGUACUACAGGGGAGACUGGAAUUCCUGGUGUAGCGGUGAAAUGCGCAGAUAUCAGGAGGAACACCGGUGGCGAAGGCGGGUCUCUGGGUAGUAACUGACGCUGAGGAGCGAAAGCGUGGGUAGCGAACAGGAUUAGAUACCCUGGUAGUCCACGCCGUAAACGGUGGGUACUAGGUGUGGGUUCCUUUUCACGGGAUCCGUGCCGUAGCUAACGCAUUAAGUACCCCGCCUGGGGAGUACGGCCGCAAGGCUAAAACUCAAAUGAAUU